rnacentral:rRNA from 1 species
GGCCAAGUUAUUAAGGGCGCACGGUGGAUGCCUUGGCACCAGGAACCGAUGAAGGACGUGGGAGGCCGCGAUAGGCCCCGGGGAGUUGUCAACCGAGCUGUGAUCCGGGGGUGUCCGAAUGGGGAAACCCGGCAGUCGUCAUGGGCUGUCACCUGCUGCUGAAUAUAUAGGCAGUGUGGAGGGAACGCGGGGAAGUGAAACAUCUCAGUACCCGCAGGAAGAGAAAACAACCGUGAUUCCGGGAGUAGUGGCGAGCGAAACCGGAUGAGGCCAAACCGUAUGCGUGUGAUACCCGGCAGGGGUUGCGUAUGCGGGGUUGUGGGAGUGAGCUUUCACGGUCUGCCGGCUGUGAGGCGAGUUAGAAACCAUGCAGGUAGGCGAAGGGCAUGCGAAAGGCCCGGCGUAGAGGGUAAGACCCCCGUAGCUGAAAUCUGUGUGGCUUGCUUGCUCAUUUCCCAAGUAGCACAGGGCCCGAGAAAUCCUGUGUGAAUCUGGCGGGACCACCCGUUAAGCCUAAAUAUUCCCUGGUGACCGAUAGCGGAUUAGUACCGUGAGGGAAUGGUGAAAAGUACCGCGGGAGCGGAGUGAAAUAGUACCUGAAACCGUGUGCCUACAAGCCGUGGGAGCGUCGCAUGCAGGGCUUGCCCUGUGUGUCGUGACUGCGUGCCUUUUGAAGAAUGAGCCUGCGAGUUUGCGGUGUGUUGCGAGGUUAACCCGUGUGGGGGAGCCGUAGCGAAAGCGAGUCCGAAGAGGGCGUUUUAGUAGCAUGCUCAAGACCCGAAGCGGAGUGAUCUAGCCAUGGGCAGGUUGAAGCGCGGGUAAGACCGUGUGGAGGACCGAACCCACCAGGGUUGAAAACCUGGGGGAUGACCUGUGGUUAGGGGUGAAAGGCCAAUCAAACUCCGUGAUAGCUGGUUCUCCCCGAAAUGCAUUUAGGUGCAGCGUCGUGUGUUUCUUGCCGGAGGUAGAGCACUGGAUAGGCGAUGGGCCUUACCGGGUUACUGACCUUAGCCAAACUCCGAAUGCCGGUAAGUGAGAGCGCGGCAGUGAGACUGUGGGGGAUAAGCUCCAUGGUCGAGAGGGAAACAGCCCAGAGCAUCGACUAAGGCCCCUAAGCGUGCGCUAAGUGGGAAAGGAUGUGGAGUCGCACAGACAACCAGGAGGUUGGCUUAGAAGCAGCCACCCUUGAAAGAGUGCGUAAUAGCUCACUGGUCAAGUGAUUCCGCGCCGACAAUGUAGCGGGGCUCAAGCGUACCGCCGAAGUCGUGUCACUGCAGCA